GCGCGAGUGGCGGAAUUGGCAGACGCGCUGGAUUUAGGUUCCAGUGUCUUCGGACGUGCGGGUUCAAGUCCCGCCUCGCGCACCA
rnacentral:tRNA from 1 species